UACGGAGGAGGCAAGCGUUAUCCGGAAUUAUUGGGCGUAAAGCGUCCGCAGGUGGCUAUUCAAGUCUGCGGUCAAAGACUGGGGCUUAACCCUGGAAAGGCCGUGGAAACUGAAGAGCUAGAGUGCAGUAGGGGUAGAGGGAAUUCCCGGUGUAGCGGUGAAAUGCGUAGAGCUCGGGAAGAACAUCGGUGGCGAAAGCGCUCUGCUGGACUGCAACUGACACUCAGGGACGAAAGCUAGGGGAGCGAAUGGG
rnacentral:rRNA from 1 species